GGGGGGGUCAAAAGACCUGCUAACUCUUUAACCUGGUGUUAAUAACCCAGCCCCCUCU
rnacentral:tRNA from 1 species